CCCCUCCCCAAUGUAACCACAGUCCGCAUGGCUAGGGCUAUAAAUUCUAGGUCGUGCUCACCCCAUCUAUGACCGUCGUUGAGAAGAGAGCCCACGAGUUCACCAGAGAGAAGGAAAUGAGAGAAGGGCGUGGGUGAGUGGGAGAUUUGGUCGCCGAUCUCGACCUCAUGCCACGGGCUUGCUUUGGGCUCCGCAAGAGGGUGGGAGGAGUCGCCAGGGACCAAGGAAGGUGCUCGAGUGUUCUAUUGGGUGCGGGAACCGGCAGUCACCGGCAAUUUCUCGCCAGACCGCACAAUGCCAUCGUGGGCCGCUGCGUGCCGUGGGUGGCUCUUCGGGCGUCAUUCCUGUCUCCAACGAGCAAGUGAUCAAGGACCCCGGUACUCAGCAGGUGGAAAACUCUUAGCAGGAGUAAUUGAAGGAAAGUUCUAGCAUAUCCUUGAGAGUCUUUUUUUCUUUUGUCGGGUAAGAGUUGUGAAAGUACACUCCGUACUUAGGGUUUUCGAACCCAUGUUGUUGUAGUUGAGGAAACAACAGAGUUUUGUUGUUUCUGUUCAAAGGCGGUACCCAAGGAAGAGCCCCAGCAGUGAAGUUGGUCGCGGGAGGAUGUUGGCCUCCCACUUUGAAAACAAUAAACUUGUGUGUGGGAGGGUGUUUUGCCUCCCUGGUCUGUAAUAAUAUUCUAUGCACUGUAAUAUCCUGGUUUUGUAAUAAUAAUACACCCUCUCUAUAUUGAUGAAUGUAAAUUAAGUUAUUGUAAUUUGCUUCCUCUUAU